AAUUUAAGUAUCCAUGGCCUGGGAGUAAAGAAAAUAAAAGAAUGAGCAAUGAAUGAUCACAUUUGCUUCUUGCUUAAAUUUCCUCCAAAGCUCUAAUUGUUUUAAGAAAUAACUUCCAAAUCCUCAGCCUGAGAUUCUGGCGUUUUCUUGCUCUCGCUUCUACCCACUUAUCCAGUUCCUGUGGUUGUCUUUUUUUCUUUGAACCUUGGACUUCACAUGCUCUACUCAUAAAAAAAAAAAAAAAAAAAAAAAAAAAAAAAAAAAAGCAGUAUCACUGGACUAUAUCAGAAAUGUGUUUCUUUGCCUUGAAUGUCAUACUCCUUUUAUCCAGAGUGCUCCUACUUCCUUUAUUUCCUAGGCUAACUGAUAAAUCAUCAUUUAAAACACUCUACUCAUACAUGAAUCUGGGUUGUGUGUACUUUCUAUGUUCUUUACUUUUGUCAGUCAUUUCAUUUGUCAUAUUAUAAUCCUGUUUUAUUGUCUGCAUCAAUCACCAAGCCAGUGUCUUUGAUUUGAGUGGUUUGAUUUAAUAUGUGGGGCCUCAUCUGUGGUCUGUUUUAAAAGCUCCCUGGUGAUUCUGGGUUACAACAAGGAUUAAAACCCACUGAACCAGACUGAGAGCUCCAUGAAGACAGGAUGGUUGACUGUCUAGUUCAACAUCACACCCCAUUUUCUAGCUCAGUGCCAGAAACACAGUAAAUGCUCAGGAAAUAUCUAUGGAUCAAAUGUCAUUGUAGCCCCAAUGCUUGAUGUGGUAUUAAGCAUAAUUGUUGAAUGAAUGAGUGAAUAGCUUAAAUUCUACAAGGAUUACACAAAUUAGUAAAUCACAGAUCCUAUUUUUAAAAAAUUACAGUUGGGAUCAAGUGAGGGGAACUGGAGAAGCACACAUUCUGAUAUAAUCACUUACACAACCAAUGAUAGAAAUGUUUGCAGUGGUUGUGAUGAUUUGUUAUGGAGAAUCUCUCUCACGGUGAGGAUUCUUCUUUCUGCAUGCAGAAAUUUUCCAAGUGGUUUGGCGGAUGUCCAGUUAAUUGAAGCUUUGAGCAAACUCCCUUUAAGUUUUUUAGAAAACUGCUAAAUCUUCUGAGGUCAUUCCAGACCAUUUGCCUUUCUCUGUUAUGCACUAAGGCAGGAAAUGUUUUCCUCCGUUUUGAAAUGAGCAAUUCAAGGGGCCAGUAAAGAAUGCAUGUGGUGGGACGCGUUAUCAGCCCCCUCCAGCUGUUUACCAGGGUCCUUUUCAUUCUUAACAGGGACAUCAAGUUCUUUUGGAUACUAGUUAGGUUUUAUACAAAAGACAAAAUAAACAUUUCCUGGAGGGCUUCAGAGGGUAACUACUCUUCCAUCUUAUCUUGCAUUUUCCUUCAAUCAGAAAAGGAAAAAAUAAGAUUUAAUGUGAGAGAGGCCUACCAUUUAUCAGGUUAGGCUGUAGUCAGUUGAUACAUUAAAACAUUUUCUUGAGCCUGAAAGCAGUAAAACCUCUCCGUUUUCUCCAUCUUGCUUGCUUAAUUUUUUAUGCUUGUGAAUUGUCUGGGCCCCAGCCCAAGGUCAUCUGAGAACAAUAGUACCUGAGUCAUUAACGUUCUUAAGGUCUUGUUUAGGAGGGGUUGUUUGGGGCUGCUGUAGUCUGACCUGAGUCAUCCCACACUGGGCCAGGGAAGCUAAAAAACUGGACUCUUCCCAAAGGAACGGUUGUUAUUAUAGUGAAUCUCCAGAAGGAAACGUCGUUAGUGCUAACUGAACGUGUAUUUUGCCUCAGAUUUACUGUUGGGCAGGGACAGAUCAUGACCUUUUAAUCAGAAUAGGCUUAGAUUGAGUUUUUUGGUACAAAAUAAAUUCGCUUCUGGUAGGAUUUGCCAGAGACCACCCUGGGGGAAGGUUCGAUGGUUCAUUUGGAGAUCUUGGGAUUUGGAGUCAGGUUCAUUUGUACACACAGCCCAGGAGGACACCAGCCCCAUGCGAAGCCCAGGGGUCAUACUCAUUCUUCUGUAGAAGGUUAUCUGCAUAAUUUUGUGACACCUGAACUGUGUGUAUUCCUUCAGGUAGACAUUCCUGAAAUCUCUACUUGGGCUAAUGGCCUUUCCUCUGAGUUCCCUUCUGCUGUCAUGAUCAACACAGUGAGUGCAAUAGGAGGAUCUCAAUAUGUGCUCCCAGGAUGACAUCAUUUAACUGGUGUUUUUUUUCUGGAUAACUGGAUAACUAUUAUGGAAAAAACAACAGAAGAAGCAGAUUUUGACUGACAUUUUGAUGCAAUUGAUGUUAUGAGUAAAGAAGUGCUCAUUUUCCAAAACCUGAGGGUUCAGACUCUGCAAAUCAGUAGAAAAAACCAGUCACUUCAAAGAAUGUGACUUCUCAGUAAUAACAGCAGGACCUUCCUCUCAUGUCCAGACCUUUCUCUGGGAAAGGGAAAAUCAAUACCCUGCAGGGGAUUUUCCAGGUUGACUUCCUCCAAUGUUCUUUGGCUCUGGCGAUGCUUGUUGACAGCCCAGACGGAAAAUGUUGAAACUCUUAGACGAGCGCCCUUCCAACUACAUCAAGCUGAAGCCUGUGGAAUAUCUCUUUGAUAUAACCACUCUGUUUCACACUCUUCCAAUUCUCUCAAGCUCAGAGGGGAGGAAUGUGGAUUUCAUGUGGCCCACUUAUCAGCAAUGACCGGUCUGUCUGUGUCAUUGGUGACAGAUGAUGGUACUUGACCAGUUCACAUUCCAUGAAAGUAUUCACGGACUCAAAUGUGUGUUAUGGCUAAAGGAGAAACGUGGCACACUGUAGGGUAGAUGUUUUGUGUAGCUACUUCCAAAGACAAAAUUCACCUCGGAGGGCACCUUGGAGGCGCAGUUAAGCAGGAGGAGGUGUGAGGCGAAGAAAGCACUGUGGUCUUGAGGGCAGGGAAGAAGUGGCUUCUGAAUAAGGUACGGUGGGUGUGCCCCAAGUGUCUCGAUGUACAAACAUCCCCUACCCCCCCUCACUGCUCCUCUUCUCUGCUUUCCCUCCUCGGAGGGACACUCCCCUUCUGACCUCCCUCAGCCUCUCCUUGCUACCAGACAAACAAGCUAGAUCGGACACUUCACACCACCUUGUGGCGACAUCUAACAAUCUUUUAAAAGAGUGUUCGUUUCUUUUGCUCAGACGUAUUCCCAGAGCUUUCAUGCAGCCACUCUUUUUCUAAUUAAACAAGUUUUAUCUUUUUAACCAUAUAGGAUGACUACAAAUCUGUCUCAUACCAUUAAAUAUUGUCACGUACGCUAUUUUGUACUUUUGCAGCACAGUGGUCGUUAAGGAUGCUCUGUCACCAUUUGUUUUUGUGUAUUUUUGCUUUUGUGCCACUGAUUAACAAUCAAUUUGGGGGCGCCUGGGUGACUCAGUUGGUUGGGCAUAAGCGUCCUAGUCUGGAUUUCAGCUCAGGCCGUGAUCUUGAUCUCAUGGCUUGUGAGUUUGAGCCACGGUGCAGAACCUACUUGGGGUUCUUUCUCUCCCUCUCUCUGCCCCUCCCCUGCUCACUCUCUCUUUCUCUCUCUCAAAAUAAAUAAACUUAAAAAAAAACAAUGAACUUGUAUAAUAUAAACAUUUCUUUCUGUUAAACAUAAGGCAGAACUACCGUUGAACCAAAGAAGCAAUAAUUUUAUGAAAUAGUAAUAAUAUAAAAUUGUAACGGCAGGAAGAAUGUGGAGAGAGAAUCAUAUUCUGGGCUUACUGAGCUCUGCUUAGGGUUUCAAAACUUCAUUCCUACACAGCACCAGGAAGCACAGAGAAAUUGGUUGCCCUCCUGUUUUCCUAAGCUAAGUCCUCCUCAAAUAGUUUAUAGCAGUAAUAGGCCUGCUAUGAUUCACCUCUCUUCCAAUAAAAGCUACAAGUCAUUGGUAUAUCCCAGACCCUCCUUUGUUCAUAAAGAUUCAGUAACUUGGAAGAUGGAUGGUGUGUCCUAGCUGAAGAAUAAAGUCUCCAUAUAAAAGAACAGUUGAAUUUGAAGAAGACUCAUUGCAGUGUUUGUAUUGUUCAAAUAAAAGAGAUAUGAACAAAUAGCUAAAGGCAUGGAGGUGUCCAUGGAUAAAAAGAAAUGUCAUAUUCAAAGAAAAUAGUAAAGAGAGACUUCUAGGUUUGGAAGGAAACUUCCAAAUUCUGAUUCAUUAGCUCAGAAAACGAAGAGACAUAACCAAGGUCACACAUGGCGCUUUGGUGGCAGUGUGGGACAAGAGCCAAGUAUCUCUAAUCUCCAGUUCGUUGGCCCUUCUUGCAAGAGAGGAAGAGAUUCAGGCCUUGUUGAAAUAAUGCUAAUGAAGCUAAAUAGGACAGUGCAUUGUUCUAGGCUGUAUGUAAGAAAGAGUUCUAUGCAGAAGAGAAGGAUUUUAUCAUAACUGUAGGUACACCAAACCACCUUGUCCACAUUUCUAGACGACUCCAUGAAUAAAGACACAAGUGCUACUUCUGGGUUUCUUGCCAAUCACAUUAGCAGAUUUCAGCAGAUUGUUAGACUAAAAGGUGAUUAGGUAAGUUCUGAAACUGUUUCAUGCUUGGGCUUGUACCAACUGCAGACAUAGCCCUCCAGUUUGCACAAGGAACCUCCGGAGCAAGCUUAGAAUGAGGUUCUUGGUGGGUAACAUCCUUCUUGGCAUAUCUUUAAAAAAAAAAAAAAAGAUUUUAUUUUAUGUAAUCUCUGCAACUUAAUGCGGGGCUUGAACUCACAACCCGAGAUCAAGAGCCACAUGCUCUAUAGACUGAGCCAGCCAGGUGCCCCCCUCUUGGCAUAUCUUAUUUCCAAAAUAGCCAAGCUUCCAUGUAACUGCUAUCUGUUCUAUUCUCAGUCAUGGAUUUCAAUGAAAGUUCUGCUUAUGUAACUAGAAAAACAUCACAUCUGAUUUUUAUCAUGUGAAGCUAAGGAGAAAUUCCCUCCUAUAAAGUUUCUUUCUCAGUAGAGCUAGCACACUCUUACUAUUUUUUUAUAUGAUGGUGGUCUUUGCACUUGAGGAGCAAGUGACAAGGAAGACAAGUGUUGCUGGAAUCCAACAUGCUUCCCCAGCAUGUGCCGUGCCAUGAUCUGUAUCACUCAUGUUGAGCACAUCAGAGGCAAACAUGUUGGGACAUCUGUGGUUGUGUGAUGUCAAAGAAAAAUUUACUGCAGGCUUUGGCUUGACAAGCUUUGAAAUAUUUCCCAGUUUUUCGGAGAUAUUACAAUACAUUCCACAUAUAAUGGAUUUAUUAUUUUUUUAUGCCGCUGAAAUGUGCUAUAUAGGAAAGACAACGUGGGAAGUUGCCUAUGUCUACAGGAUUCUAGCUCCUGUAUGUUUCAGUGCUCUACACAUACAAGUUAGGACCUGGGCUGAGUAGGGAGAACAAUUAUCACUAACACAUUACAUUGCUGCGCUACCAACUUUGUAUAAAAUGGGGUGUCUAGGCAUUCAGACAACAAAGCUGAGGUCAUACAAAAUGGUGACUAAGGAUGUGG